rnacentral:rRNA from 1 species
AACCCGACUCCAUGAAGCUGGAUUCGCUAGUAAUCGCGCAUCAGCCACGGCGCGGUGAAUACGUUCCCGGGCCUUGUACACACCGCCCGUCAAGCCAUGGAAGCCGGGAGUGCCUGAAGUGCGUGAGCGCAAGCAGCGCCCUAAGGUAAAACCGGUGACUGGGGCUAAGUCGUAACAAGGUAAC